CCUACGGGAGGCAGCAGUGGGGAAUAUUGGACAAUGGGCGAAAGCCUGAUCCAGCCAUGCCGCGUGAGUGAUGACGGCCCUAGGGUUGUAAAGCUCUUUCGCAGGUGAAGAUAAUGACGGUAACCUGAGAAGAAGCCCCGGCUAACUACGUGCCAGCAGCCGCGGUAAUACGUAGGGGGCAAGCGUUGUCCGGAAUCAUUGGGCGUAAAGCGCGUGUAGGCGGUCCGAUAAGUCGGCUGUGAAAGUCCAGGGCUCAACCCUGGGAUGCCGGUCGAUACUGUCGGACUAGAGUUCGGAAGAGGCGAGUGGAAUUCCCGGUGUAGCGGUGAAAUGCGCAGAUAUCGGGAGGAACACCAAUGGCGAAGGCAGCUCGCUGGGACGUUACUGACGCUGAGACGCGAAAGCGUGGGGAGCAAACAGGAUUAGAUACCCUGGUAGUC
rnacentral:rRNA from 1 species